UUUUUUAAAAAAAAUUUAAUCAUUUUUAAAGAAACAAAAAAAACCUGAACUUUUUAUCCAAUUUGCAAUUUUGGCCAAAUCUUUAUGAGAAAUGAUAAAUUAUAGUCUAAACUUUCAAAUAUGAUGACAUGCAAUUGUGUUCAGAUUAUGAAAAUACUUUGCAAAAUGAAUUAAAAUCAGUUUUUAACAUGAUCAUUGUUCAGAGAUAUAUGAAUAGGCUAUCAAAUAUAUCAUUAUGUGCAGGUAAUUUCUUCUUUUACAAGUUAAUCAUACAUGAAAUUAAAUAGGUUUGGUUUGCUAUGCCAUGAUUGCAACAAUAACUACAGUUAUAAUUGGCGAGUUAGACCGUAACUGCAAAUUGAGCAAUGGCUUAGGUCUUUCGGUUAUUAACCCUUCUAAGAAAGUACGAUGUGUGAACAACAUAAACCUUUGUGGUUUUAAAAAUAAUGGAGCUGGAUGCUUGCUGCCUUGCAAGUAAAGCAGGUGUAAACAAGAGCUACAAAUUUAAUUCGUUAACUUUGCCAUUUGAGGUGUGAUUGUAUUCAAAUGGCUCACUUGAAAGAAAAUUGGCAGAACAGCAAAUUCUAAAUCAAAACCAAGGGGGGAAGUGCAAGUGACAAUUGGCUGGCCCCCUUUAAAUGUUCUGAACUGUGGUAAUCUACAUAAGAAUCUGACAACAAUAGGGAGUUUGCUUUUGAAUGUUUUGGAUAAAUGAGAUGCAGUGAACAUUUUAAGUUGUGGUUCUCAAACUCUUUGCUUAUCUCAUCAUAGACUGGCCGUGAUUUAUACAGUCAAACAGAAGAAGACUUGAGGUGUGUUGGGAGAAAUUUAACGUUUAUUUUGUUUUGUUGCUUAGAGUUACUAAUGUUAAAAUCAUUUAAUCAGAAUGCUUUAUACAUGUUACUGGAGGGAUUGUCUGUAAUAGUUCAAAGCGUGUGCAACAGUUUGUUUCAAAAUAUAUGUUAAAGACUAUUAAUAUUUGCUGUAAACAUUUCUUCGCUAGAAACUAUAAAAGAUUUAAAUAGUAGUAUUGCAUCUUUGAAGUUUUUUUGUUUGUAAUAUUAUUGAGACUCAAGGAUAGAUUAUCAUAGCAGAGAUAUAAUGGAUGCUUCUACGUUUUUAUUGGAGAUGUGUUUGCCGUUUGUAAUGCAUGCUUUUAGUUUUGCUUUUUUUUCUUGAUGUUCUGUGAUCAUGUCCUCAGGUAAGUUAUGAAAUGGGAUUUGUG
rnacentral:misc_RNA from 1 species